UACGGAGGAUCCAAGCGUUAAUCGGAAUUACGUGGGCGUAAAGCGUGCGCAGGCGGUUUGUUAAGCGAGAUGUGAAAGCCCCCGGGCUCAACCUGGGAAUUGCAUUUCGAACUGGUAAACUAGAGUCUUGUAGAGGGGGUAGAAUUCCAGGUGUAGCGGUGAAAUGCGUAGAGAUCUGGAGGAAUACCGGUUGGCGAAGGCGGCCCCCCUGGACAAAGACUGACGCUCAGGCACGAAAGCGUGGGGAGCAAACAGGAUUAGAUACCCGGGUAGU
rnacentral:rRNA from 1 species